UACGGGGGGGGCAAGCGUUGUUCGGAAUUACUGGGCGUAAAGGGUUCGUAGGUGGCCCGUUAAGUCACACGUGAAAUCCCUCAGCUUAACUGGGGAACUGCGUGUGAGACUGGCGGGCUUGAGUGCAGGAGAGGAACGCGGAAUUCCAGGUGUAGCGGUGAAAUGCGUAGAUAUCUGGAGGAACACCGGUGGCGAAGGCGGCGUUCUGGACUGUAUCUGACACUGAGGAACGAAAGCCAGGGGAGCAAACGGG
rnacentral:rRNA from 1 species